rnacentral:lncRNA from 1 species
GAAUUUUAAACCCUGGAAGUAUGAUACUAUGAUAAUUCUUUGAGUUAUACCUCUAGAAAAUUUGUUUUCUGUAUACAUUAGAUCUAUUUUUUCCCUAUAAAAAUUAUUUUAUCGAGAGAGUGAAGUUUACCCUGCUUAGGAUCGCCUGCACAUCUGGUACUUAUUUGCAGGCAUAUAAAUAAUUAAUAGAUUCAAUGACAUACUGCGAAUUUCACAUUGAUAUGUAAAAUAUAUUUAGCACCAUUAAACAUCAAUAGUGACUUGCUUUGUAGUUAGGUCUUAUCAAAUAAUAAACAUCCUCUGACUGCAAUCAGUUUUUCUCCAAGUGGGUAAUCCAUAAUAGGAAAUUUUUAAAAAACCCUCCAGCCUGGUCUUGAUCACCCCCUGAAAUUGUCAGUGAGAAAUAGAUCACUUAGUACCAGCUGAAUUUAAUAAGUUUAUUCAGUGUAAGUAAAAGAAGCAAUAAUUUUAAGUCAACUGCAAAAAAAAAAAAAAAAAUGUCAAAUAGAAAUAGUUUUUGGACUAUCCAGUGCUUGUGGUUUAUGUCUUCGUCCCCUAGAGAAAUAACAAUACCCAAACACACCUGAAAUACAUAUAUGAAGCUUUAAAAGCAUACAGCUUAUUUCUUUUAUUCCGUACACACUAUUUCCUUCCCUUUAGUCAUUUUUCCUCCC